rnacentral:rRNA from 1 species
GGUGAGUAAUGUCUGGGAAACUGCCUGAUGGAGGGGGAUAACUACUGGAAACGGUAGCUAAUACCGCAUAACGUCGCAAGACCAAAGAGGGGGACCUUCGGGCCUCUUGCCAUCGGAUGUGCCCAGAUGGGAUUAGCUAGUAGGUGGGGUAACGGCUCACCUAGGCGACGAUCCCUAGCUGGUCUGAGAGGAUGACCAGCCACACUGGAACUGAGACACGGUCCAGACUCCUACGGGAGGCAGCAGUGGGGAAUAUUGCACAAUGGGCGCAAGCCUGAUGCAGCCAUGCCGCGUGUAUGAAGAAGGCCUUCGGGUUGUAAAGUACUUUCAGCGGGGAGGAAGGGAGUAAAGUUAAUACCUUUGCUCAUUGACGUUACCCGCAGAAGAAGCACCGGCUAACUCCGUGCCAGCAGCCGCGGUAAUACGGAGGGUGCAAGCGUUAAUCGGAAUUACUGGGCGUAAAGCGCACGCAGGCGGUUUGUUAAGUCAGAUGUGAAAUCCCCGGGCUCAACCUGGGAACUGCAUCUGAUACUGGCAAG